AAUCAACGCUGGCGGCGUGCCUCAGACAUGCAAGUCGAACGAUUAAGACUUCCUUCGGGAAGUGUAUAAAGUGGCGCACGGGUGAGUAACACGUAAGUAAUCUACCGUCGAGUGGGGAAUAACAUCGGGAAACCGAUGCUAAUACCGCAUAACGCAGCGGCAUCGCAAGAUGACAGUUGUUAAAGGAAUUUUUUUCGCUU
rnacentral:rRNA from 1 species